rnacentral:lncRNA from 1 species
UUUGUUUGUAAUUGCUAAUAGUUGAUUACACAUGCGGGGGGAAUGGGUUAUAUAAAACCUCGUAUAUUUUUUAACAACCAGAAGCGGGGACCUAAUAUUUUGCAUAUUAUCGUUACUCGUAUAGUUCUGAGUGCCCCAAAGUUUGGUCCAAAUCGGCGUCGGACAGUUCCUUUCCUUCUCUUGUUAGUGCAUAGGCUGUAUUUCGAAUCUAAUGUUGUUUUAUUUAAUAAUCAUCUCUUAUCCUAGGAAAGUAAAAUUUUCAAAUUUUUGAAAUAUAGAAUUUCCUAGCUGUAGUUAUUAUUUGAAUGAAUAUGGUGAAGAAAGUUCGAAAUUUUUUCUGUGUUUAAUUCGAUACUUAUAUCAUUCAGGACUAUGAAAAGAAGAAUAUUAUACUUUUCAUAGAAGAAUAUUCUCUAUUAUUCUAUGAAAAGAAUAUUCUCUAUUUCUUUAAUAGAAGAAUAUUCUUCUAUUAGAGAAGAAUAGAAAAA